GGGGGUGGAGCUGGGGAGGGGAGAGAACAGCAGAACAUGUUUUGUUUGGAGAAAGAAAAAAACACUACAAUGAAACCUAACAUUCCGUAUGCUGAUAAAGACAGAACAGAAUAGAAAAAUUCCACAGCCUCGUCCAGGGCCAAUCCUGAAUUAAUAAUGUCGUAAUUAGCAAGUGCCCUUUCUGACAAACGCGGUGAGUGGGUCCUUAGAGAGGUCAGACACGGUUUGCCCCUGUGCCUUUGGAACAGAGCGAGCUAGUGCCGAGCCUUCGGACCUGACAGCCCUCCGGAGGAUCAACAGCUCGGGGGCUAAGGGCUGAGCUCCAUCGUGGAGAGGAAGUGAAGAAGCGGGAACUCGACCCCGAGGUGCCCAGCACACAGGCGAUCCUUGGGACUUCCGGGUUUCAAAAGUUCCAGUCUGGAGCGAUCCCCUUCCACCCACAACUCCUGCUUCCUGACACUCGCAUAGACCAGGGGAAAGUCUGGGAAGAUCUUUCAAACAGCUCACCUUCAUGCCUGCCUCCUCUGUCCUGUCCCUAGGACAGCCAGUGUAAAUGGCUACAAAGCGAGGGGCUUAAGGCAACAACACACAGGUAUCCCUCCCUGUUCAGGAAGUAGGGAGCAUGGUGCCUAGGUGAGUUCAGGGAUGGGUCCUCCUGGAGGCUGCAGAUCUGCUCCCCACUUGCUCCCAGCUUCCUCCCGGUGUUGCCAGGGACCUUGGCUACCCUCCACGGGCAGAUGCAUUACUCCCUGUCAGCCUCCAGCUUCAGCUCACCUCCUUCCCGGAGUUCCUCUGAUAAUAAAGUGACAAGGAUGAGACUAUGGUACCAACUCAAUUAGAGGCCUUGUUACCAAGGAAGUCAAGAGGACAUCACGUGGGCCUGUAUGGGAUGACACCAGCAAAACCAGACCAUGACCUGGUAGAAAAGACCAGACUCAUGUGAGAAGAAAAAUGGCUCCUAGAGGUGACAGGAACGCCAGAGAAGAACACGGACCCGGGUAGCUAAAGACACAGCCACCUGCUCCAGGCACAGCCUGGCCUGUGACCUGGACCCACUCCUGUCCCUCCAUGAACACACUCUGCCUCUGAUGAAUCCGUCCUCAACAGUCUUCAGACUUACAGGCCUAGCUGCCUUGUUCUUGCCCUUGGACAUUCUGGAGACACGGACAGCCUUAGCUUCCCCUGAGAUCACCUCUGUGGAGGCUGGAGAGCCAUGCAGCAGAUAAAUGAGAGGGGCACUUCAGAGACACAAAGACAAACCUUCAAUACCACAGCCGGAAACACUAAGUCUGAAGAGUCAGCCGCCUGCUCUGAACAACUCUUACCUUGGUUUCCCUUUUCUGUCCAGAACCAGGUAAUUUCUCUCUACCUAGCAUCUCCUGUGACUGUGCAUUCUGCUCCCACUUGACUGUCUGCCUGUCUGUCUAUCUAUGUGUAUGUGUGCAUGUGUGAGUGUACAUGUGUGUGUGCAUAUGGACAUGGUUCUGUAUGAGUACACACGCCACAGUGUAACCGGAGACAAGAGUCAAUUCUCCUUCAUCUAUGUGGGUCCUGUGGAUGGGGUUCGGCAGCAAGCACCUCUACUCACUGAGCCUUUUUGCUGGCCCUGCUAUGACUUUAACCAUUACCCCCACAUCGCUUGGGGUGACUUCAGAGCUGCCUGAAUGUGGCUCAUGCUUUCCUGAACACCACACACACACACACACACACACACACACACACACACACCAUUCCUUUCCAGAGCUAUGGCUGACCUCUAGAAACGUCUCCCGGACUCAUCUUUGCCUCUCUUGGCAAACUGAGUCAUAGUCCAGAUGUAGUGGCACGGUGGCUCUGAGAAGACCCGCCUAGGCCUCCCAGUGAAUGCCACGUUGUGCUAUGGCCUCUUCUUGCCACACUGGCCACCUCUGCCUGCUGUGUGAACGUCUUUGGGACAAAAGUGAUACCAUCCGCUUAAGGCCACAAUAAGGUUCCACCUGGACUGACUUAGAAAAGCAUCAAAAAUAAGCCAGCCAUCUGUCCUGACUCCCCUGCUCCCUCAUGGUCCCACCUCUCAAUAACUCCCCAAAGUUCUGCCUCAGGCAAAACAAACACCCUCCAUAGAAAGUACAGAGACACAGCAAUCCAGGGAGAAUUUUGAGGAAAAGCCCCGUCUUGCCUCUUUGACUCUUAUACAGUCCAGCACACAAGAGUUCUCACACUAUGCCCAGAGAAACCUGGUGGGCUCACACUGCUGGUCACACACUCCUUCCUGCUCCUCCAAGCUUUGUGAAGUUUCUGCUCAGAUCAUAUUUACACGGAAGAAAGCCGCCUGACUGAGAAGGGGUUGAGUGAGCAGUUCCUUUCCCAUCACCAAGGAGCUGAGGGGCCGCACGUGCAGGCCCGCAGGUCAACCGACAAGCUGAACUAGUAGGACUCCUAACUAAAACAAAUUCCGGGUGGGACACUCCCAAGUGGAACGCAGCGGGUAGCCUGUGGAAAUUCCCCAGCCUGAUUCCCACUCUGUCUGGGUCAGCGGCCCUCACGUGUGUCAGUCUCUUUAGGCGGCAGCUCCAGUUUUCCAGACCCCAGGGAGCAGACACCUUUCCACUUUGUCCUUUGCUGUCACAUGCCAGCACCAGGCCCCUUGGAUGCUCUCCAGUCCCAGCAGGUGAGAAGUGACCUUUGACCCCUCUCUUGGCUCCCACCCCCAGGCCCCCAGCGUUCUCUUCCCCUCCCACCUACUUUGUGAGUGCACUGUGUGCAUCUCUGCCCUGCCCAUCGUUCUGAUCGACCACACGUUCUGAUGGGAGAAAAAAGAUGGAGGGAAAGUAAGUGUGGACUUUUCACCAUAAAUGACCCCACAAGACACCCCCAAACUCCUCUCCCGGACAGUCCUGUCCAAUAUCCCUCCGACAGAAACGUCACCGCCGCGCCUCCGCCGCCACUGACGCUGCUACUGAAAUUAACGGAAUCUGGCAGGAGACCCUAUUGUUUUUCCAAUCCCUAGUUCUGCCAAGCAAACACAGGGAUCUUGAUGAAAAUGGCCGCUCCAGACAACUGUGUUUCAGGGGCACAAGAUGCUCCCACAUCGCCCUCAGCCUGGGUGCGCGGCGUGAGCGCAAGCUGGAGGCUCUCUGGUUCGGACAUGCUGACAAGUUUUUGUGAGGUUUUUUUUUGUUUUGUUUUUUGGUUUUUGGUUUUUGGUUUUUUUUUUUUUUUAAUGCAACUAAAAUGUUAAACAGGAAGCCUUUCAGGACGCCUGCCACGGACGGCGACCGAGUGCCAAGUUCCCCCUCUCCUGUGGCAGCAGCUCCGAGCCGACAUUUUGUGAUGUGGGGAUGCUGGGUCCAGGUUUAGAGGACUGUAGCCAGAGACCCUGGAAAAAGCCUCGCCGCCUUAACGAAGACCCUUUGUCCUUCGUGUCCCCACACCUAUCGAUCUGGCCUGAGGUGCCAGUGUCCAAAUGAGUGUCCCUCCUGGCACUGCUGGUUUGACUGACAGUGACACACUCAGGCCGCAUCAAAAGCGCCUGUUUAUUCCCCAGGUGGGAAAAGGAUCCUCUCUUCCCACACCUUGAACAGUUCAGAGCCACCAUGGUCUCCUCCCCCUUGGUUUUCGACUGUGCUGAGAGAGGAUUUGAUUACUGGCCGCCCACUUGAAAAGCAGCAUUUGUGCCUCAGUCGCCUCUGUCUGUCCUUGCCCCAUUGUUUUAGGGCACAACAGAGUGGCAGUCUGCACUGUCACCCCUACAGGAGGAGGCUUUUGUUGAAACAGAAACUUCGUAUGGCCUAAAGGAACUGAAUGAAGUGGGAACAGAAAGCUAACAAUGGACAAUCAGUAUCACUUGAGAAGAAAGGACAGGAGCACUGGGAAGAGGAGCUGAGACAGCAACUCUGGGGACCAGGCACUUUGCAAGGGACCAGGGAGUUUCAUUUCCAAUCCUCAAAGAUAACCAAGUCCUCCCUGGUCUCUGCUUCCCUCAACUCCUGGGGACACACACUGAUCAGUUAAUAGGCUGGGGCAUCUCUGAGAGAAACAGCCCCACGCUCUUCCUGAAUGUUCCUAAAUGCUGUGGAAGGAAGAAGAGUGCAGCACUGUGAGCAUGAAGGCAGGAGGUUUGCACUCACUGGGAAAACACAGAGGAUGGCAACAAUUUUCUUGCUCAGGGCCACACUCGCAGGCCCGCCUGACCCUCCACAGUUGCCUCCCUCAACCACCAGCCACUGGAACUAGCACCCCCACAUUGCCUCUCACAGAUGAAGCGUAGCCAGCAGCCUCUCUCCCAAGGCAGUCCCCAGUGAAGCUCAUGAUCUGGAGCUCCCCAGGGUCCAGGCAGAAAGUGGCUUGCCCCUGUCUCACCUCUCCUUGGUCUCCCUUGGGCUCUGUCAGCCAUGUAUAUCCAGACACCUACCACAAACUCUGAGAAGACAGGAAGGUGAAGCUAAGAGAGGAGUGGGUCCCCCACUGCAUCCACUGAUCCACUGGAGCACCUUUCAGUGUGUGCCAAAAUGGCGUCACAGCACCAUCCCCCCCCCCCCCCAGUUCAAGCAUCUAUAUUAAAAAAAAAAAAAAAAAGAAUGGCCACUUCUGUCUUUCAUUCUUUCUAUAGUGGGGUUUGAACCCAGGGCCUUGCACACACACAGGCAAGCUCAACCAUUAAGUUCUGUCUUCAGCCUUAACUUCUUGAGGCAAGAUUUUACCAUGUGGCCUAGGUUAACCUUAGUCUCAAGAUCCCUCUGCCUCAGCUUUCUGAGUGCUUAGAUACAGGCAUGUGCCACCAUGCCCAGUGGGAUCCCGAUACCGACUGGCACACUUCAUGAAAACAGCUACCUUAUAUAUACACAGGAAGACCGAGGAAGGGAGCGGCCCAGCACCCAGGCUGAAACUCGGGAAACCUGGGAGAGGCUUGAAAGUAUGAAGAGCUGUGUUGGUGUUAUGGAGGCAAGCAGGAAGUACUCUCACUGAGGUCAUCCGAUGAAGGUUAACAGAGGAAGUCAUGGGGUAGCUGUGCAGUUCUUAGGGCAGAUGGCAGAAGAGCUGCUACACCUGCUAGUCCCGAAGGGACAAGAGGGGCGAGAGGAAAAAUGAUCAGAUCGGGAACCUGCGUGCAUCCUAGGAGGGACACAAAGGAAAACUCUCCAGUCCCACCUCUCCCCAGAUACCCAGAAUUUACCACUCCAACCCAUCUUACUAGCACACCCAAACAAGAAGACAAGAGACUCAAAGGUCAGAGCAGAGUCAGAAGGGGCCGCGUGUAAAGUUGGGCAAACAAAAGAAGCCAACACACAUGGGGCCCAUGCUUCUUGAUACAGUUUUUAAAUGUUUGUAUGUCUAAACAUCUCUGUAGAUUAAAAAUACCUAACUUUAAAAUGUAUUUUUAACCAUCCUAUCUCUUCUCAGCCAGAUCUCACGUCAGUUCUAGCAUUUUCUAACGGGUCCAAUCCAGACUUGUGUGAGAGGUUAGAUCUCUACGCUUCCUGGGAAGAAAGUACUCAGCAGAGCGUCUUGCACACCCUCCUCUGUCUACUCAGCUGUACGUGUGUGAGUUCCAGGAGCUGGGGAGACACAGAUGCCCCCAGGUGCAUCCCUCAGCUCUGUAGAACUCAGGGCUCAAAACCUGAGCAGAUCGGGUCCUGCCUCCCCUCCUCGUUCCUAGGUCGCUCCGUGGCCAUUGAUAGCUUCCUCAUCUGAACAGGCUGUUGGCAUCUCUGUGCUGUGGGAAUGGUAAAGGCUCCAGUCAGGGCCCAACGUAGGUAGCUGCUUCUCUGGGGAGUCGAGGGGGUGUCUGUGUUAUCUCCUGGGACUUGGGGGCACAGUGGCAUAGUAUGUGGGGAAAGGACACAUGCAUCUGGUUCUGAUAAAAACCAAGGUACAGCAAAAGCUGUGACCCAGCUCCCAGCCAACCACACCUCCUCCCUCCUCAGACCCUUCCGGCCCCAAGCUCCAUGGAAACCAACAUUGCAAGGAGACACAAGACAGGACAUGUCACUAACCAGAGAACCAACCCUGUGCCCAAGAGAACACAGAAGAGCACAGCUUCCUGGAAGGCGGUAAUGAGGGUUCUAUUGUGAACAGACCUAGAUUUCCAUUCUUCCACCUUGCUUUCGGGUAUAUUUGACUGUGAGGAAACCACCUCACCCCUCAGUAUGCCUCUUCCUCUGAUUUGACCUCUCUGGGACUCAGUUUUUUCAUCUGUGAAAGGGACACAGGAGUGGCUGUCAGGAAAGAGAAGAUGGAUCGCCCAUCUGUGUGUCUUGACAGGAAGAUGAAUUCAGGAGCCACACACACCCGCCAGUUCAGUCUCUCUUUGAAUUAAGCACAGGGUAAGCACCUGCGGAGUGAUUUCAAACUCUCAUCUAGAGGAAGGUCCCGGUCUUUCACUUCGCUACAGCCUGCUCUCUUAGGGUAAGGUAAGUGUUGUUCUGGGGGUGCACUGAUUCCUCAACAUGAAACGAGUUUUUCUCCCACCUCCCUUCCUGCUCAGGGUCCAGCUCUACUUAACCUGGGCAGCCAACGUCUGCAGAGGAAAAAGACAAAAAAAAAAUUAAUUAAAACUAACCAAUCUCAAAGGACCAAGAGUUCCCGAUGACAUCCCUACCUUCCUGUUGUUUCAACCAAUCUCUCUGCUGAGUGGUGGUCCCCCCAAGUAAUUUGAUGCCCAUCCCUCUUUGGCCAGUCUGUCCUUGGAAAACUAACAAUGCCCAGGCCCAAGCAGAAAUUUUUGCUAAAAAUACCCUGCAUUCCUGAGUGACAAUAGCUCUCUCCUCAAACUCAGGGACAGCCAGGUUAAAAACAGCAGCCGGCAGCUUUAGAUGGCAAGAGCAACCAAGACAGGGAGGCCUGCGACCAGCACAUCACGCUGAGACAUCUGCCAUCUUGGCCCAUCCCGGCUUCCCUCUUCCCAGAGGCAGUGGGCAUCUCAAUGGCACAGGAAGCUGGACUUCUCCGCGGGGUCUGUGGGCUCUGCAACGUCUUGGACAGAAGAUGAGAAUGGCCUGGAAGGAAGCAGCAGAGACCGGAUGCCUCAACUAUUCACUGGCCCGUGUGCUAUCUGGCUCGAUGUGCAAAUGUCUCUCUAGUAGAAGUGUCAGAAGCAAGGAGAAGUUGAAAGCCAUGUCACAAUCAGGUGGGCCCAGGAGCUGACACAAGCUGAAGCAGUUUUCAGGAACCAUUGACCCCCUGAAGCGAGACCAGACAGACAGAAGUGAGGAGAGUAUGCCGUGUUCACUCAUGGCUGAGUCCCUUGCCUUCCUGGAAGAAGUCAAACAUCCACUUGCUUCCUUUCCUGUCUUGAGAGCCAGUCUUACAGGUUACGCCCUCCUGCGAGCACCUCAGUCCAGCCCUCGAUACACUUUAAGGACCAGCUGCUUGCGUAGACCCACAGCCUGUCCCCAGGGGCUGGAAUCACCCCGUUGUUGAGAGCUCCUUGAAGGGACAUCCGGACUGUGUCUUGGGUGACAUGUUCCAUGAGGAACACUCAGGGCUUCCUAGGCGCUCAACCCUGUGUCCUGGGCAUCUGAGGUGGCAGGAAUGACCUUUUCACCUGUGGCUCCUCUGCAAAAUUGUAGGCGAAGGGUUCGGUUCACUUGAAUCUCUCCUGUCCAUGCCCCAGGCUCGUCCAGUUUGUACCUGUGAACCACACUGCCCCAGGGAAGCCGUCUGUGCUAUCCAUCCCACUUGUAGACCACAGCAUCGAGUCACAGUGUCAAGGGCUGGGCACACCUCCUAGGUGGACUUUAAAGGAGACUUUAGCCAUGUGUACCCCCUUACGACCCAGUGUUGUUUGCUGAGUUUUCGUGCAGUAGUCAGCAAACCUGCUUAUGGAUUCUGGUGUACAUUGAUUCAACAGAGCAGUGAGAUCUCACAGGGAUUGCUCAUUUAAUUACAACCUCCAUUUAUCUUUUAUUGGAUUACAAAUAUUGGGUUUCAUGAUGGCAUUUUUCAUGCAAUAUUUGUUGUUGUCGUUCCUCUCCCCUAUGCUUCUCACCCUCCUCCCACUGACUCUCAUCCUCCUCCCACUGACUCUCACCCUCCUCCCUCUGACUAUCACCCUCCCCCCAACCAAUUUUCAUAUUGUGUCAUCCUUGCCCCAACUUCCUUAGCACCUCCUGUUUCUCCUUUAUGGUAUUGACCUAGUUGCAUAUCCUGC